AUUGAACGCUGGCGGAAUGCUUUACACAUGCAAGUCGAGCGGCAGCGCGGGGGCAACCCUGGGCGGCGAGCGGCGAACGGGUGAGUAACACAUCGGAACGUACCCUAUCGUGGGGGAUAGCUCGGCGAAAGCCGGAUUAAUACCGCAUAAGACCUGAGGGUGAAAGCGGGGGAUCGCAAGACCUCGCGCGAUUGGAGCGGCCGAUGUCGGAUUAGCUAGUUGGUGAGGUAAAGGCUCACCAAGGCGACGAUCCGUAGCUGGUCUGAGAGGACGACCAGCCACACUGGAACUGAGACACGGUCCAGACUCCUACGGGAGGCAGCAGUGGGGAAUUUUGGACAAUGGGGGAAACCCUGAUCCAGCCAUUCCGCGUGAGUGAAGAAGGCCUUCGGGUUGUAAAGCUCUUUCGGCAGGAACGAAACGGUGGAGGCUAAUACCUUCCAUCAAUGACGGUACCUGAAGAAGAAGCACCGGCUAACUACGUGCCAGCAGCCGCGGUAAUACGUAGGGUGCGAGCGUUAAUCGGAAUUACUGGGCGUAAAGCGUGCGCAGGCGGCUUUGUAAGACAGGUGUGAAAUCCCCGGGCUUAACCUGGGAACUGCGCUUGUGACUGCAAGGCUUGAGUGCGGCAGAGGGGGGUGGAAUUCCACGUGUAGCAGUGAAAUGCGUAGAGAUGUGGAGGAACACCGAUGGCGAAGGCAGCCCCCUGGGUCGACACUGACGCUCAUGCACGAAAGCGUGGGUAGCAAACAGGAUUAGAUACCCUGGUAGUCCACGCCCUAAACGAUGCCAACUAGGUGUUGGGGAAGGAGACUUCCUUAGUACCGUAGCUAACGCGUGAAGUUGGCCGCCUGGGGAGUACGGUCGNCAGAUUA
rnacentral:rRNA from 1 species